rnacentral:rRNA from 1 species
GUGCCAGCCGCCGCGGUAAUACGGAGGGUGCAAGCGUUAUCCGGAUUCAUUGGGUUUAAAGGGUGCGUAGGCGGAAUAUUAAGUCAGUGGUGAAAUCCUGCAGCUCAACUGUAGAAUUGCCAUUGAUACUGGUAUUCUUGAGUGCGCUUGAAGUAGGCGGAAUGUGCCGUGUAGCGGUGAAAUGCUUAGAUAUGGCACAGAACACCAAUUGCGAAGGCAGCUUACUAAGGCGAUACUGAUGCUGAGGCACGAAAGCGUGGGGAUCGAACAGGAUUAGAAACCCGAGUAGUCC